rnacentral:rRNA from 1 species
GAUGAACGCUGGCGGCGUGCCUAAUACAUGCAAGUCGAGCGAACAGACGCGUUGCUUGCUCCUCUGACGUUAGCGGCGGACGUAACAGUUACAUAUGCUGCACCUACCUAUAGGACUAGGCUAACUUCGUGAAACCGGAGCUAAUUCCGUAUUCUUUCUUGAACCGCAUGGUUCAAUAGUUCAAGCCGGUUUUGCUGUCAUUUCUAGAUGUAUCCGCGCCGCUUUGGCUAGUUGGUAAGGUAACGGCUUACCAAGGCGACGCUGCGUAGCCGACCUGAGAGGGUGAAGGGCCACACUGGAACUGAGACACGGUACAGACUCCGACGGGAGGCAGAAGUAGGGAAUGUUCGGAGAUGGGCGAAAGACUGACGGAGCAGCGCAGGGUGAGUGAUGAAGGUCUUCGUGUCGUAAAACGCUGUUAUGGGGGAAGAACAAAUGUGUAAGGAACUAUGCACGUCGUGACGGUACCUAAACAGAAAGCCACGGCUAACUACGUG